GGCCAGGUAGCUCAGUCGGUAGAGCAGGGGAUUGAAAAUCCCCGUGUCGGCGGUUCGAUUCCGUCCCUGGCCACCA
rnacentral:tRNA from 15 species